rnacentral:rRNA from 1 species
CCGCGUGUGUGAAGAAGGCCUUAGGGUUGUWAAGCACUUUCAGUGGGGAGGAAGGGUGCGUUGUUAAUACCAACGUACUUUGACGUUACCCACAGAAGAAGCACCGGCUAACUCUGUGCCAGCAGCCGCGGUAAUACAGAGGGUGCAAGCGUUAAUCGGAAUUACUGGGCGUAAAGCGCGCGUGGGUGGUUUGUUAAGUCUGAUGUGAAAUCCCAGGGCUCAACCUUGGAAUGGCACCGGAUACUGGCAGGCUAGAGUACGGUAGAGGGGUGUGGAAUUUCCUGUGUAGCGGUGAAAUGCGUAGAUAUAGGAAGGAACAUCAGUGGCGAAGGCGACACCCUGGACUGAUACUGACACUGAGGUGCGAAAGCGUGGGGAGCMAACAGGAUUAGAUACCCUGGUAGUCCACGCCGUAAACGAUGUCUACUAGCCGUUGGGUUGUAAUGACUUAGUGGCGCAGCUAACGC